rnacentral:rRNA from 1 species
GAUCAUGGCUCAGGAUGAACGCUAUCUACAGGCUUAACACAUGCAAGUCGAGGGGAAACGACAUCGAAAGCUUGCUUUUGAUGGGCGUCGACCGGCGCACGGGUGAGUAACGCGUAUCCAACCUGCCUACCACUUGGGGAUAACCUUGCGAAAGUAAGACUAAUACCCAAUGAUAUCCCACGAAGGCAUCCGAAUGGGAUUAAAGAUUUAUCGGUGAUGGAUGGGGAUGCGUCUGAUUAG